rnacentral:lncRNA from 1 species
AUCACUUUACACAUUACCUAUUGAACUACCUGAGAUUGCAAUGGAAUCGUACAAUUAAUUUCAUUUAGUCAACCUUUAAGAUUGCCAUUAAUCUUAUUUAGAAUUGGAUACAGUCUUUAAUUAUAGUGCAGUUCUGCCACAUGUACCAACAAUAUUUCCAAAUUGGUUGCCAUGGUAUCUGAAAUUUCCUUUAAUGGUUUUGCUGAUUUGACCACAACAGAAUUUUGUUCUUAUACCUGAUGUUUAGAAUUGUCUUCUGAUGUAUUUUAUACCAGCACAUAGGUUCAAAUGUACAAAGUCGCUUUGAAAGGGUUUUGUAGAAAAUAUUAAUCCAAUAAUCAGACGCGGGCAUCCAGAGUUAGAGGAAUGGGGGUAUGUAAAUGGCGAUAUUGGUAAAAAUAUUGGCGAUUAUAAUUUCGUUAUUGAAAAUAGGAUUAUUGAUGUUAAAUAAACAUUUUAUCAAAAAAAUUAAAAAGGAAUCAGAAGCCAAUCGGAGAUUAAGUCAGUACAGGGAAUAUUUAAAAUAAAUUACUCAAGUUUUCAGUCUUCAGAGAACACCUACUUUAACCAAACAAAGAAUUGUAAGAAAGAAAAGAAAGAUUCUGGAACUGAUAUUGUGUCACCA